rnacentral:misc_RNA from 1 species
AACGCACGAGACCUGCGGACCUGCGGAGGGAUCAUUAAUGAGAAGCUGCCCCUCGUGGGUAGACCCCCCACCCUCUGUGAACUUACCUUUGUUGCUUUGGCAGGCCCGUCCUCUGGACCGCCGGCUUCGGCUGGCCCGUGCCUGCCAGAGGAUUCCAAACCCUGUCUGUCAGUGUUGUCUGAGUCUAUAUGAAAUCGUUAAAACUUUCAACAAUGGAUCUCUAGAUCGGAAGAGCACACG